rnacentral:miRNA from 14 species
GCCAUUGGCUUCUGGCACUGUGGCUCCUGCAUGAAAACAGUGGGGUGGGGCCUGGACCUACAAUACCACUUCUGUAGUCACAGUGAAGCCUGCC